rnacentral:rRNA from 1 species
CCGCGGUCUUAACAGACUCUGUCGUAGAAUGUUCAGUGGACGACGUUCCACCCAUAAAUGUAACAACUUUCAACAACGGAUCUCUUGGCUCUCGCAUCGAUGAAGAACGCAGCGAAAUGCGAUAAGUAAUGUGAAUUGCAGAAUUCAGUGAAUCAUCGAAUCUUUGAACGCACCUUGCGCUCCUUGGUAUUCCGAGGAGCAUGCCUGUUUGAGUGUCUUGAAGUCAUCAACCCCUGCCGUUUUUUUUUGCGGCAGGAGUUGGAGUUGGGGUGUGCUGCCGUUGGGCGGCUCCCCCGAAAUGCAUCGGUUGGGCCUGUGGGUCGAACUCGACUGGGCGUUGUACCAUCCUCGCUCGACCGAGAAGUUCCCCCGUUGUGCUGUAACCCCGACCUGCCUAUGGAGCGGCGGUCUAUUUAACUUUGAAAUCUGACCUCAAAUCAGGUAGGACUACCC